CUCACUUCAUCAUUGACACAGACCUUUCUGGCUUUUUUUUUUUAAAAAAAAAUCACGACUACUCCUUGAUCUCUUCUUCUCUACUACUCUCCAAAUCUCCUAAUGUUUUCUCUCUUUUGACCACCGACAUCGGUGUCGGUUCUGUCCUUUAUAUUUCUCUUCUUAUCUACUACUGGAAAAAUAGAAAUCGAUUGAAACUCUUAGAACCUUCUAUUAGAAGUUUGUGGCCAUUUUUUUUAUAAGAAAAAUCACAUUUUGAAUCAACCCUAACUUUUGAUUUGCCAUCUAUGAUGACGACCACCGCAAUAAGCUUAGUGAUUCUUCUUCUUUCCCUUUUUGCUAUAUCAGUCUAAUAUAUGAUUUUGUUUUGUUGCUGUGGUAUCCAUUUUGAGUAGGCUGACCUGCGUGAGGAGUUGCUUUGGAUCUGAGCUGGGGUUUGGCCCGUAAUAUAUUUGUUUGUCCCUAGAGUGCUUCUGGUGUUUGCUUUAGCAGGAAAAAUAGCACAAAAAAGGGGUUAGGCUUAGACACGUUGAGGGUAUUUAUUCAAAGCGUGAGAUACAUGGAAAUGAGGGGGUGCUGAUGGUGGCCCUUUGGACAUGUUAUGUGCUCCAUCAGCUUUUUUGCUUAUUGAUUUACAAGGUGCUUUGAUAAAGAGGUGUCUGGGUCUAAAAACUCUUAAUCAAAGAAGAAAAUGCUUAACCAAAAGAAAAUCAAGGGUAUGUAAUCAUUUUGUGUUGGUGCCUAAUCAGUCUUGAUAUGAAAUAAAAGGGUACAGAAUUGGAAAUUGGUUGCUUCUCAUGAGACUGAAUAGUUAUUCUUGAAGGUUGAUGCUACUAUCUUCUAAAAGGUACAUUACAUUAUUGAAGUUUUUAAUUUAUAUUUUUCUCUCAAUGAUUUCAUUUACAUCAUUGCAUUAUGAAGUGUUAAUCCCCUUCUUUUCCCUUUUUCUGAGCAUCUUCCUUUCAUUUUUGUUGAGUCAUGAGUGGUUACAUGUAUAUAUUUAUGUACACUUCAUCUCAUUUUUUUUUUACCAAUUGAUUGCUUGCAAUUAAGUUGAUGGUGCUUGCAUAGAACAAAAACAGGGAAAGGGUUAUUGCUAUCAGACACUCAUGGUCAACAUGUGUUCUAUUAGGCUGAAGUGUAUCAGCACUAGAGCUUUUGUUUGCAUUUUCUUGGACAAGGGACUCCAAUAGGUGCUACUGGGCACCUUGCGCCACUACUUUGCUGAGUUGCCUCUCUCUGACAUCGACACACGCACUUAUACAUCUUUGGGCAGGUUAUGGCAGCAUCCAAUCCUCACGUUAUGUGCAUGAGACAAAACUUACCACAUUUAAUUUGCUAUGCUAAUAAAGAAUCUGCCAUCCUUUUGCUAGAUAAUUUCUACGUAUAGAUGGGAUAUAGAUAGGAAGGUCUUAUGGUCAGGUGUGGUUUUGUCAUUUGUUCAACCUCAUUGCCCCUCCAAUUUUCAAAUUGUUCAACCUCAUGAAAGUCAACCAGUUGAAGAGGUUAUUUACUUUAUAAUGGAACUAACGAAUGAAGGACAGAUGGUAAGAGUUGACGUGGGUGGCUCCUCGAGCACCAAAUUAAUCUCAAAGGAUCAAGAGUUCCCUGCUGAAAUUAAUUUUAAUUAUAAAAAAUGGUUUUUUUUUUUAAACUCUUAAUCGCCCAACUAUCCGUACCAACUUGAUCAACAUCUUUUUUUUCUUUACUUCACAUUACAAGAAUGGAAAAACGAAUUAAUAGUGGAUCAAUUUUUUUGGUGCCACGUGAAAAUUGACUUACACAACAUACAAAGGUGAGAUCAUGAUUUAAGGUCUAGGUUUAUUCCUUUAUACUUAAUUGUUUGAUAAGAGUUUUAUCGUUUUUUUUUCUUUUUCUUAA